rnacentral:rRNA from 1 species
UACGGGGGGGGCAAGCGUUGUUCGGAAUUACUGGGCGUAAAGGGCUCGUAGGCGGCCAACUAAGUCAGACGUGAAAUCCCUCGGCUUAACCGGGGAACUGCGUCUGAUACUGGAUGGCUUGAGUUUGGGAGAGGGAUGCGGAAUUCCAGGUGUAGCGGUGAAAUGCGUAGAUAUCCGGAGGAACACCGGUGGCGAAGGCGGCUUCCUGGACCGACACUGACGCUGAGGCGCGAAAGCUAGGGGAGCAAACGGG